rnacentral:rRNA from 1 species
UACGUAGGGGGCAAGCGUUGUCCGGAAUCAUUGGGCGUAAAGAGCGUGUAGGCGGCCCGGUAAGUCCGCUGUGAAAGUCCAGGGCUCAACCCUGGGAUGCCGGUGGAUACUGUCGGGCUCGAGUCCGGAAGAGGAGUGUGGAAUUCCUGGUGUAGCGGUGAAAUGCGCAGAUAUCAGGAGGAACACCAAUGGCGAAGGCAGCACUCUGGGACGUGACUGACGCUGAGACGCGAAAGCGUGGGGAGCAAACGG